GACGAACGCUGGCGGCGUGCUUAACACAUGCAAGUCGAACGGAAAGGCCCUGCUCUUGCGCGGCGCUCGAGUGGCGAACGGGUGAGUAACACGCGAGUAACCUCCCCUUGUCUUUGGGAUAACUUCUGGGAACUGCGGCGAAUACCGGAUAGGAGCUCUUGCACCAUGGUGGGGGUUGGUAAGUUUCGGCGGUUGGGGAUCGACUCGCUGGUUAUCAGCUUGUUGGUGGGGUAGUUGAUUACCAGGGCUUUGACGGGUAGCCUGCCUGAGAGGGUUACCGGCCACAUUGGGACUGAGGGACGGCGCAGACUCCUACGGGAGGCAGCAGUGGGGAAUAUUGCACAGUGGGCGGAAGCCUGAUGCAGCAACGCCGCGUGCGGGAUGCCGGCCUUCGGGGUAUGAACCGAUUUCGCAUGUGACGAAGCGUGAGUGACGGUAAUGGGUAAAGAAGCACCGGCUAACUACGUG
rnacentral:rRNA from 1 species